rnacentral:misc_RNA from 1 species
GAUGAAGAACGCAGCGAAAUGCGAUAAGUAAUGUGAAUUGCAGAAUUCAGUGAAUCAUUGAGUCUUUGAACGCACAUUGCGCCCCCUGGUAUUCCGGGGGGCAUGCCUGUCCGAGCGUCAUUGCUGCCCUCAAGCACGGCUUGUGUGUUGGGCCCCCGUCCCCGGUUUCCCCCGGGGACGGGCCCGAAAGGCAGCGGCGGCACCGCGUCCGGUCCUCGAGCGUAUGGGGCUUUGUCACCCGCUCUGUAGGCCCGGCCGGCGCCAGCCGACACCCAACUUUAUUUCUAAGGUUGACCUCGGAUCAGGUAGGGAUACCCGCUGAACUUAAGCAUAUCAAUAAGCGGAGGA